rnacentral:lncRNA from 1 species
AGGGUUUUUGGUUUUUAAUCAUAAGCAUAGCUUUUAAAUUAGAUAAACAGAACUGCCUACUAGAUAAUCUACUCCUGGAAAAGGAAACGGAUUCACUGUUGGUGGGAAUGUAUUGUUACAGUCAUUAGGGAAAACAAUAUGGAGGUUGCUAAGAAAGUAAAAAUAGAACAACCAUAUGACCCAGCAAUUCCUCCUCUGGGUAUAUAAACAAAGGAGAUUAAAUCACUUACUAUGUAAAGCUGUCUGAAUUUCCAUGUCUCCAGUGUAGCAUUAUUCCCUCCCAAUCAUUAAGAUAUAAAAACAACCUAAAUGCCAAUCAAUGGGUGAAUAAAGAACAUGUAACACAUCCACAUUCAGCCUUAAAAAAUGAAGAUCCUGAUAUUUGCCACAACAGAGAUGAACUUGGAGGACUAACUGAAAUAAGCCAGACACAGAAAGAAAAAUAUUGCCCAAGGUUAUGUGCAGAAAAAAAUAUUUUUUUUAAAAAAAGAGUUUAAAUAUACAGAAAUAGAGAAUAUUACAAGG